rnacentral:rRNA from 1 species
GACGAACGCUGGCGGCGUGCUUAACACAUGCAAGUCGAACGGAAAGGCCCUGCUUUUGUGGGGUGCUCGAGUGGCGAACGGGUGAGUAACCCGUGAUUAACCUGCCCUUGACUUUGGGAUAACUUCAGGAAACUGGGGCUAAUACCGGAUAGGAGCUCCUGCUGCAUGGUGGGGGUUGGAAAGUUUCGGCGGUUGGGGAUGGACUCGCGGCUUAUCAGCUUGUUGGUGGGGUAGUGGCUUACCAAGGCUUUGACGGGUAGCCGGCCUGAGAGGGUGACCGGCCACAUUGGGACUGAGAUACGGCCCAGACUCCUACGGGAGGCAGCAGUGGGGAAUAUUGCACAAUGGGCGGAAGCCUGAUGCAGCAACGCCGCGUGCGGGAUGACGGCCUUCGGGUUGUAAACCGCUUUCGCCUGUGACGAAGCGUGAGUGACGGUAAUGGGUAAAGAAGCACCGGCUAACUACGUG